rnacentral:lncRNA from 1 species
UUCAUUUCCCCGAAGGCGUCGCGGCCUGAGGAGACCCGUUGGGUCCUCAGCGUCUUGGCGGCAGUUGGUGGAACCGGAGCUUCGAGUCCGUCCCCGGUGCUGCCUGCGCGUUCACCUGAGUCUCGCUGGAGCUCUUCUCGCCCGCCCACCUCAUCUCAACCCACUUUCCGCGGGGAGCGGCGCCAAGCUGGGCCUUCCUCGGAUCAGGCGUCCCCUGAAGUCGGCACGCCCCUCUGCGUCCCCCUUCGGUCCCGCUAGGACCCCGUCCGGGCUGCCGUCGCCUCGUCGCUAUGGCGCCCACCAUCCAGACCCAGGCCCAGCGGGAGGAUGGCCACAGGCCCAAUUCCCACCGGACUCUGCCUGAGAGGUGAGCCCCACUGUGCUUUCCCAGGAGCGGUGGGGCAGUGGGGCUGGGAGCAGAGGUGGGGCAGCGGGGGCCCACUUUUGAGCCACUAAUGUUCCUAGGUCUGGAGUGGUCUGCCGAGUCAAGUACUGCAAUAGCCUCCCUGAUAUCCCCUUCGACCCCAAGUUCAUCACCUACCCCUUCGACCAGAACAGGUUCGUCCAGUACAAAGCCACUUCCUUGGAGAAACAGCACAAACAUGACCUCCUGACUGAGCCAGACCUGGGGGUCACCAUCGAUCUCAUCAAUCCUGACACCUACCGCAUCGACCCCAAUGUUCUUCUAGAUCCAGCUGAUGAGAAACUUUUGGAAGAGGAGAUUCAGGCCCCCACCAGCUCCAAGAGAUCCCAGCAGCACGCGAAGGUGGUGCCAUGGAUGCGAAAGACAGAGUACAUCUCCACUGAGUUCAACCGUUAUGGCAUCUCCAAUGAGAA